AUGCUCACGGUUCCCUUGGGAUCCUUGGGAAUGUCUUUGGGACAUUUGGUGAUUCCAUUGGAACCCUUGGAAGAGCCCUUGGAAUUGCCAUUGGGAUCCUUGGGAAUGUCUUUGGGACAUUUGGUGCUUCCAUUGGAACCCUUGGAAUUCCCAUUGGAUUCCUUGGAAUUGUCAUUGGGAUCCUUGGGAAUGCCUUUGGGACAUUUGGUGCUUCCAAUGGGAUUCUCGGUUGUCCCAUUGGAAUCCUUGGAAGAGCCCUUGGAAUCCUUGGAAUUGCCACUGGGAUCUUUGAUGGUAUUUCAACUCAAAUCCUUGGAAUUGCCAUUGGGAUCUUUGGAAGAUCCGUUGGGAUGGUCAUGGUUCCAUGGAGAUCCUUGGGAAUGCCUUUGGGACAUUUGGUGCUUCCAUUGGAACCCUUGGAAGAGCCCUUGGAAUUGUCAUUGGGAUCCUUGGGAAUGUCUUUGGGACAUUUGGUGCUUCCAUUGGAACCCUUGGAAUUCCCAUUGGAUUCCUUGGAAUUGCCAUUGGGAUCCUUGGAAGAGUUGUUGGGAAAGUCACGGCUCCGUUGAGGUCCUUGGGAAUGUCUUGGGCACGUGUAGGAAUUCCCAUUGGAUUCCUUGGAAUUGCCCUUGGGGAUUUUUGGUGGUUCCACUCAAAUCUUUGGAAUUGCCUUUGGAAUCCUUGGAGUUGCCAUUGGGAUCCUUGGGAAUGCCUUUGGGUUAUUUGGUGGUUCCGUUGGGAUUCCUGGUGGAAUUCUUUGGCAAUCCUUGGAAGAGUCAUUGGGAUGCUCACGGUUCCCUUGGGAUCCUUGGGAAUGUCUUUAGGACAUUUGGUGCUUCCAUUGGAACCCUUGGAAUUCCCAUUGGAUUCCUUGGGAUUGCCAUUGGGAUCCUUGGAAGAGUCGUUGGGAAAGUCACGGCUCCGUUGAGGUCCUUGGGAAUGUCUUGGGGACGUGUGGGAAUUCCCAUUGGAUUCCUUGGAAUUGCCCUUGGGAUUCCUUGGAAUUGCCCUUGGGAUUUUUGGUGGUUCCACUCAAAUCUUUGGAAUUGCCUUUGGGAUCCUUGGAGUUGCCAUUGGAUUCUUGGGAAUGCCUUUGGAUCAUUUGGUGCUUCCAGUGGGAUUCUCGGUUGUCCCAUUGUAAUCCUUAGAAGAGCCCUUGGAAUCCUUGGAAUUGCCCCUGGGAUUUUUGAUGGUAUUUCAACUCAAAUCCUUGGAAUUGCCAUUGGGAUCUUUGGAAGAUCCGUUGGGAUGGUCUUGGUUCCAUGGAGAUCCUUGGGAAUGUCUUUGGGACAUUUGGUGCCUCCAUUGAAACCCUUGGAAGAGCCCUUGGAAUUGUCAUUUGGAUCCUUGGGAAUGUCUUUGGGACAUUUGGUGAUUCCAUUGGAACCCUUGGAAUUCCCAUUGGAUUCCUUGGAAUUGCCAUUGGGGAUUUUUGGUGGUUCCACUCAAAUCUUUGGAAUUGCCUUUGGGAUCCUUGGAGUUGCCAUUGGGAUCCUUGGGAAUGCCUUUGGGUUGUUUGGUGGUUCCAUUGGGAUUCCUGCUGGUUCCUUUGGAAUCCUUGGAAGAGUCGUUGGGAUGCUCACGGUUCCUUUGGGAUCCUUGGGAAUGCCUUUGGGUUAUUUGGUGGUUCCAGUGGGAUUCUUGGUUGUCCCAUUGGAAUCCUUGGAAGAGCCCUUGGGAACCUUGGAAUUGCCACUGGAAUCCUUGGAAUUGCCCUUGGGACCCUCCGUGGUUCCAUUGGGAUUCCCGGCAUUCCCGGCAUUCCCGUUCCUCCGCAGUCCGGCAGUUCCUGGAGAGCGGGAUCAGCCCCGACCUGUGCAAUGA
rnacentral:lncRNA from 1 species